rnacentral:lncRNA from 12 species
UCAGCCGGGCUCAGACGACCCCCACCCCCGCGACCUCGUCUGCGUCCUGGGCUUGCUUCCUUCCACCUGGCAGUCGGGGCGCAUACCUGGCAGCCAUAACACAAAGACAACAUCAUGGCUGGAUCCUCGACUUGCGAAAAAGGCUAAACCUCCAGAAGAGUGCAAAGAGAAUGGAAACUGUGCCGGAUAUCACAUCUCUGUCAUCUCUGUUGGUUCUAUGUGACUCCUGGCCUGACUUUCCACCACCUUCUAAGGACUUUUUGUUUGCAAUAUGUCUCUCUGAGGACUCUUAUCUUUUCAUUGGCAUCAAACAUGAUAUAUAGAGAAACAGUCUUGUGGACCUAUAAAUAUUACUGAUUUUUGUGUUUAGAGGCAUAGCAUUCUGCUGGUUAUUAAAGAAUCGGUGGUAUACAGAUCUAUACAUAUGGCUACUUUCCUUUAAUCAAAUAUUUGAAUUAAAUAACCAGUUGCAUGAAUGUCCUGGGAUAUCCUUAGUAUUUUCUAGUUUCUAGUGUAGUAAUACUAACUUGCUUAGAAACUGACUGUUUUCAUGUAUGUGAAGAAUGUUUUUGAACAAUGUUGGGGGUUAGAUGGGUGUAAACCUUGCACUGAUAUUAGUAAAUUAGAUGAAGUCUGUUACAGAUGACACUUGUAAUUUUUAAAGAUGUUGAGUUUAAUGUUAAAGAACACUUAAAAUUUAGCUAAAAUGAUAAAUAGCAUACUCUCCUUUGAUUUAUUAUUUGACUACAAUCAAGCCUUUAUCUCCUCAACCUAUUAGAGCCCUGUUCACAGGCAUCUAUCAUUGAGAAGCUCUUAAAAGUGGAGAAAGUGAUGAGAGUUUAAACUUUUAAAAAAGUUUUUGAAAAGUCAACUUUUUAUAAGUCUCUAAUUCUAAAAGUCCUUUGUAACAAUAGUUCUGGCUUUAUCAGAUAAUAUUUUGAUAACAUUGUUCAUUUCUGUAACUGUUCACAAGCUAGUUGUAAAGAGUUCAAUUAAGAAUUAUAGUGUACAGUUUAUAUGUACAUAUUUGAAUGCAUAAAUAUCCAGUUUUUAACCACUGUCUAUAUUAAAUUUUAUAUUAUAGCUAUAUCUGUAUGCUUUCUGUAGAAUAGUAUGACUGCUUGUGGUUGAAGCCCAUAAAAUUCUGUGACCUGGACUUUUGAUCACCAUUAGGCUAUAUAUUUCCUUGACACCAGUAAGACGUAUGCUGCAGAUUGUGAUCAGUUAUAAAUUAAAAUGGCCUGAUCUGUUAUAUAUGGAAGUUACAAUUCACUUUUGCCGCAGAUGUAAAAACCUUAGUAUAUCCUAAUUAAAAUGAAUGUAACGAUUUGCAGUGCUGUGACACAUUGAACUUCUCAGCUGUCUUGUUCCUUUGAGUUAUUCUUUUUAUUAGAAAAAGCUGUUAAAAUCAAACUUUAAAAUUCUGGGAGAGAUGUAGGCAUAAGACGUUGCAUAAUUUUAAUAUUCCAAUGUUAUCAGUUUUUCCCACAUCCGCACUUGUCUGUCUUCUUAGGAUGAUAAAUACCUAAAAUAUGAUGCCAGUGUCUGAGGAGCACAUGUCAUUGAAAAACAAGCCCUGCAAUAUAGUCUUGUAGUUCAGAAUGAUUUAUAACCAGUCAAUUACUAUUUGUUUUCAUUUUCUACAAAAUAAAUAACUCCUAGAUUUUAUUCCGUAUAUUACU